rnacentral:rRNA from 1 species
UACGUAGGGGGCUAGCGUUGUCCGGAAUCAUUGGGCGUAAAGCGCGUGUAGGCGGUUCGGUAAGUCCGCUGUGAAAGUCGGGGGCUCAACCCUCGAAUGCCGGUGGAUACUGUCGGACUAGAGUACGGAAGAGGCGAGUGGAAUUCCUGGUGUAGCGGUGAAAUGCGCAGAUAUCAGGAGGAACACCGGUGGCGAAGGCGGUUCUCUGGGCAUUACCUGACGUGAGGAGCGAAAGCAUGGGGAGCAAACGGG